rnacentral:rRNA from 1 species
GAUGAACGCUGGCGGCGUGCUUAACACAUGCAAGUCGAACGGGAAUUACUUUAUUGAAACUUCGGUCGAUAUGAUUUAGUUCUAGUGGCGGACGGGUGAGUAACGCGUGGGUAACCUGCCUUAUACAGGGGGAUAACAGUCAGAAAUGACUGCUAAUACCGCAUAAGCGCACAGAGCUGCAUGGCUCGGUGUGAAAAACUCCGGUGGUAUAAGAUGGACCCGCGUUGGAUUAGCUAGUUGGUGAGGUAACGGCCCACCAAGGCGACGAUCCAUAGCCGGCCUGAGAGGGUGAACGGCCACAUUGGGACUGAGACACGGCCCAGACUCCUACGGGAGGCAGCAGUGGGGAAUAUUGCACAAUGGGGGAAACCCUGAUGCAGCGACGCCGCGUGAAGGAAGAAGUAUCUCGGUAUGUAAACUUCUAUCAGCAGGGAAGAAAAUGACGGUAC